UUUUCCCUGUGGGGUUGAGUUCGCUCGGUGUCUCACUCCUGCUCGCGGGGGGGGGCCGGGGCCGGGGCGCGGGCGACAGAGACUUUCUCACUUCUCAAAGAUGUUCGCGGGAAGCGUAACUGCAGGGCGGCGGGCGGCUGCGCUCACACAAGCAUUGGGGCGGGCGCUGUGGCCGGGUGUUGGGGGAUUGGGCCGGAGGCCCGAGGACCAUGUGCAUGUUUGUCGGGAGCCUGAAGUCCCUGCAGGUCAGGGCCCUGCCCCAGGCUAGCCGCUGGGAGUGAGCAGCCCCGAGAGAAGCGGGUGGCAGGCCCGCUCAGGGCUUUGGGAACCGGAGCAGCAUCCUUCCUCGAGGCUGCAGAUUACCAAGGUGCCAGCAUGUGAUCACCAACAGCUGAGCAUGGUCUGCUCAGAAGGUGCCUCGUGUGCAUCCCACCAGGUGUUGAGCGCUGAAGAAUGAUCAGAGCAGAGUUUUAAAGCUGCCAGCGGUGGCCCAGAGACCUCAGCCCAAGAAGAGGCUGUGCUGCAGCAGAGGCAGAAUUCGAAGGCCCAAGGACCAGUCCUGGCCAUCCAUCCACGUGGACUCUGAAAACCGGGCCUUGACAGUUGGUGUAGAAAUGAUGCUCACCUCGUGCUGAGGGGACAUAAUUGCCACUGAGGGAACCAAGAAAUGGACUUGUCAACCUUUCCCUGGGACAGGCACUUUCGGUGUUAGUAGAUUCAUGAGUUUUUCAUCAUCGUCUCUUAACCAAAAGGAGCUUUUGCAUUUUAAAAUACUGUAAAUUUGUUAUAUUUGGUGUUUUAAACUGGAAAUGUCACAAAAUGUCCAUGCAGUUACAGUAAACACAAUGAAAGGAUGGUCUUUGCA
rnacentral:lncRNA from 1 species